rnacentral:rRNA from 1 species
AAACUUUCGACAACGGAUCUCUUGGCUCUGGCAUCGAUGAAGAACGCAGCGAAAUGCGAUAAGUAAUGUGAAUUGCAGAAUCCAGUGAAUCAUCGAAUCUUUGAACGCACAUUGCGCCCGCCAGCAUUCUGGCGGGCAUGCCUGUUCGAGCGUCAUU